GCCGAGCUCAGUAGCGAGGGCUUGUAACCCAUGUGGGGGCAUUAAGGUGGCGUGAAUGUUUGGUGCGGAAUCGGGGCCUGGGUUCAUUGGUGUAACUAUGCCGGCCUGCCCGUUCCAAGUUGAGUAGUGGUCGGAUGGGCUUUGGCGAAAGCCAUGGGCCUAUCCGGCUCUAAAGUGGCAGGCAAAGCGUGAGGCUGGUUUCACAGAGCAGCGAUCACUGCCCGCUUCCAACGGUGGAAGGAUAACAGGCUGCUGCGCCAUGAGCCCGCUUCUGGCCCAGAUUCCCACUAAAACAGACCACCAUCUUU
rnacentral:SRP_RNA from 1 species